CACGGAUUCUUGCUUUCCCAUUUCUCGGGAAUGUACGUUGUUUAUCUAUAUUUGUUUGGUAUUUACGUGAUGCAAAUUCGCGUAUACCAACGUCGUUGCGAUUUAUUUUCGUCGACGGUGUCCAUUUGCAUUAUGGAAUAUGUUCCGCCUUCUAACUGCGUUUGGUUUGGUUGAUGCUAGCUUGUACGCGAUUCUCUAGGUUUCUAUUUUU
rnacentral:lncRNA from 1 species